GGGAGCUCGGAGGAGAGCAUCCGCUGCCAUUGCCAACGAUGGAGGUGGAGGUGGAGGUGGAGAUGGAGGAGGUACUCCUGCCAAUGUUUCCUAGACUACACCAUCAUUUGAGAAGACAUCUAAUGCAGUCGCGGAGCUGAAAACCACACGUGUUCAGUAGGGCCUAGCCAUCAAUUUGUAUGUAAUUUUGUUGUGGUGACUACUUUUAAAUCUUUCAGGGGCUAUAUAUGAGCAAGUGUUAUCUUGAGAAUUAAUGUCAAAAGACCAAGAUGCUUUCGAGAGGAACUUCUAUCAACUCAAAGCCUUUUACAUGGAUACACGGUUUGUUUCUUCUUGAAUACUUUCUGGUACUGUGCAAUGUCAAGAACUCAAGAUUCAAUCCUUCAUAUGUACUCUGGAUGUGGAGUGUCAAGCAUUUAUACUGUGUCGCCUCUUGCUUUUCUUCUGAACCAGUAACCAUCAGCCUUAGGUUCUAGCGUUGUAUCAUGUUCUUGAAAUUUCAGGAUGGCAUUGAUAGGUGACAGAAAAACGCCGUUAAAGUAAAUAUUGCCAUUGUUAGUGUUGAAUUUUGUGGGAAGAGGAAUUCAUGUAUCCUAAUCUCUGUGACAUUGUGAAUCCCUGUAGUUUUAUAAGAACAAUCACGUUGGCAUUGGACAUUUUCUGCUCUUCUUUUUGGCCUGGGUUGAAGAAGACCGACCAAAUUUCAUUAAGAUUUGGGAAAGAUACAAGUUACAAGUAGCAUCAACAGUAUGCUGUCGAAGAUGGAGGUGUCGGGUCCUGAACAAGCCCAAACACCAAGAGAAACAAGCCCUAACUCAUUACAAUCUUUUAACAGUCCAGUCUCUUUCCAAAUGGAAAUCUCAUCCUUGAUGUCUCCAAACAACUGGCCUAAUGUGUGAUCUCUGAUUGAAAACCCGUGCAUCAUGUUCGUUCCAAACGAGCCAGCAGACCAGCAUGAAAAGUGUGUCGCAAGAUUUUCUGCAUAAGUGUGUCAUAGAUCCCAUAAUUUUCUGAAAAGUGUGCAUUACGUACAUUAAUUUUCUGUUUUUUCGGAGCUCUGCAUUCCAGAACUUAUUUUUAUUAAAUGCUAUAUUAUUCUGUGUUUAUUUGUAAUUGUUCAUCCAGUGGCAUAAUACCACCCUCCCCUGAUGAGUACCCU
rnacentral:sRNA from 1 species